AGAGCUUGCUCUCUGGGUGACGAGCGGCGGACGGGUGAGUAAUGUCUGGGAAACUGCCUGAUGGCGGGGGAUAACUAGUGGAAACGGUAGCUAAUACCGCAUAACGUCGCAAGACCAAAGUGGGGGACCUUCGGGCCUCACGCCAUCAGAUGUGCCCAGGUGGGAUUAGCUGGUAGGUGGGGUAACGGCUCACCUAGGCGACGAUCCCUAGCUGGUCUGAGAGGAUGACCAGCCACACUGGAACUGAGACACGGUCCAGACUCCUACGGGAGGCAGCAGUGGGGAAUAUUGCACAAUGGGCGCAAGCCUGAUGCAGCCAUGCCGCGUGUGUGAAGAAGGCCUUCGGGUUGUAAAGCACUUUCAGCGAGGAGGAAGGGUAAUGU
rnacentral:rRNA from 1 species